CCCCCCCCCGGGCGGCGGAGGAGGCGGCGCUGAGUCCGGUCCUAGCGGCUCCGCCUUGCGUCUCCCGAGUCAUCAGUGAGUAAGCCGGCCCGGGAGAAGGCUUUUAAAUUUUAUAUUAUUUUAUUUUUGCCUUUAAAGGCAAACGUCCUGGCAGUCUGGAGAAAAGGGCUGCUGAGUCAACCGCAGCUGAUGCGAGGGGGGCUGGCCGGGGCUGGGAUGCAGGAGUCCCAGACCGCAGGAUAUUUUGCAACUCAAAUCCUCCCAGGCUGCAGAUAGGUAUGUUCUGUUCUACCUGGCAGGAUAUGACCGUCACACAAUGCCAGAACUUACAUGGGACCAUCUCAACUACCCUCAAGGUUGACUCAGCUGUCUCCUGGUCCUGCUUCUGUUUCUAGAUGAGAAAAGCAGAUUGGUUCCGCUUUGGUUAGAGAGCUGUUGUUAUCCACGCAGUUGCAUUCAGGGGAUCCUUGGCUGGGGCCAUUCUCUCCAUAUGGCGUUGCAUCCUCCUCCAUCUCCAGCAGCUCAGUCCGGACUUCCGUACAGCAUGGCGGCUGCGCCCAAGAGGAACAUUUCAAGAGGACAAUCCCUGUGAAACACUGAUCAAGCCCGCUUUAAUCCAUGCACAUCCUUCUGGCUAUUGCUUGCUUUGUCUCUUUAAUCUAUAAGGAGCAUUUUCUCUGUGAGUAAAUAUUCUUCCCAGCCUGAAGUUUAAUGGCUGGCCAAUGAUCCAUCAUUGAUUUAACCAAUCCCCUAUUGAUGAAUAUUUAGGUGGCUUUCAUUUGGGGGCAGUUAGGAACAACUCCAAUUUUGUAUCAAGAAAUUGGUACAAAUCCUUGAAGAAGAGGGACAACAGGAUGAAAAGACAGGGGCAUUUUUUAGACGUAGAGAAAUCAUUCUUUAAAACCAUCGUACAUAUUGCACUUCUAGCAGCUGGAAAGGGACUGCCCUUUUCACAAUCCUCUGGCCAAUACUGGGAGUGUUUUUGUUUUUAGUCUUUGUCAAUUAGGUAAGUGAAAAACAGUAUCUCAUCAUUGUCUUCAAAAAAGAGAAUGUUAAAAGAAAGUUGCCCAGAGCCAGAUGGCUUCAGAAGAGUUCUUGCUUUUUCCUCGGAAGCAGCCUAACAAAUCAGCAGGGGUGGGGGCAGUGUCUCUCAGCCCACUGACUAGGCUGGAAAAAGGGAGAACAGCCUUGACAGCUGAGCUCCUGGCUUGGGGGGUGAGGUCACUGUGUCCUUGCAGUGCAAUUGACUGGGACAAGUUCCCUGCUGUCCUGUCCCGGGUCUGAGAGCUUUCCAGUGGGCACAGGGCACAGGACCUCACCUGCCAUGCUCACUGCACCUAUCUGGACUUGGCCCUGUCCCAUAUGACCCACUGGGGCUAAGGUCUGGACCUGGCCAGCUAUGGCUGAUGAUGAUUUUAAAGCAAGGUGUAUAAAGUGGGACCCCAAGAUCAGACCUUGGCUUUGAGCAGCCAGAGCCUUUCUUUAUGGCCUAAAAAACUCCUGAAUGAGGGACAAUUUCCUGUGUGGAAGUGGGAGUCCUUGACUCAGAGCCAGCUCUGCUGCUUUCUAGCUGUGGAGGAAGCAAUGAAGCCUUGCUGAGCUUGUUUCUUCAUCUGGAAUAAGUGGUAGUAGAGCUUUUAGGAUUCUUAUGUACUUCUUUCAUGUCUGACCCUUGUAAUCUUCAUAGGACCCCUCCAAGACUGGGAGUAUCCUGCCUGCUUUACUGGUGAGGCAAAGUGAGGUCUGGAGAAGGGAAAGAACUUGCUUAAGGCCACAUAGCAAAUAAGUCGCAGACUUGGAAAUGAGCUCAGGCCAGUCUGGAACCAAAGCCCACGUAGAUGCCUUCUGUGGGCUUUGUAAACGGUGGGUGAGAAAAGGACAUGUUAAAGAGCUCUGUGCCCGGCCAGCGUAGCUCAGUGGUUGUGAACCAGGAAGUCAUGGUUUGACUCCUGGUCAGGGCACAUGCCUGGGUUGCGGAUGGGAUGUGCAGGAGGCAGCCAAUCAAUAAUUCUCAUCAUUGAUGUUUCUAUCUUUCUCUCCCUCUCCCUUCCUCUCUGAAAUCAAUAAAAAAAAAUUUUUUUUUAAAGAACUCUACAACUUCUUAGGAGUUAAAGAACAUCUGCAAUGACAGCCCAAUGUACAAAUCAUC